UGUGUGUGCACGUGCCUGUGUGUUCACUUAUGAUUUGUUCCCGAACAUUUCUUUCGGAAGCAAUGAUAUUGGGAAAGGCGUGAGAGUGCCGGUGUGUGUGUUGGGGGUAUGGUGAAGGCUGAAGAGGGUGGAGCCCAAGAUAGGUGGUUGAUAUUGCCUUUUUUAGACUUGUCUAAGUAGAUUUCACGUUAGUGUUCCUUUAUAGUAGAGUUUUGCCACUUUAGAAUCUUUGGUGUCUUUGACUGUUUCUUUACGAGUGUCUGUGGGUUUAGACUUGGCAGUGAUAGAGCAAGUGUGUUAGGGGGAAUAAAUAACAAGUAGUCUGCCACUCACGCAAGAAAUGAUUGAAGAAGAAAGGCUGUGACUCUGAAGAUUAAAUACACAAAUAAUUAUCACUCUCUUGAGAUGUUGACUCGCAUUACCUUUUGACUUCUUUGAUUUCUAAUUGAUUUGAAGCAAUCUAUGUGUCAUGUACUUGCGACAGUAUACUCACAUUCUCGAUGAACCGUCUUCAUUGCCAGACGUCGAAUAACCAACCAUGGCAUGAAAAACACAUUUGAUUGUGACAUUGGUUAAGCCUAUAUUGACCUAUAAAAGACUCCUCCCACGACUGGCCUGGGGGUUUCGGAAGUGUUUGCGGUAGACAAUGAGAUCAGCGGUAAUUAUGGAGAAUGUAUGUCUUCUGUGUAUAGGCACCAACUUGCCUUCGCGGAAGGCAUUGCGAAGCGCGGCACUUCCGACCCAUAGCCUUGGUGUGCGGUCCAUAAAAGAAAACCCUCGAGGCGCAGGGCAGCAGGCUAAGGAUAUGGACUGGGAAUCGACACGAGGAGGAGGAGGAGGAGGAGAUGAGAGAAUAUUGAAGUCGGUUUGUUUCUCAAUGUUUUCUCAGAUCAGCUCCAACUCGACGUGGACCGUUUAACACAUGCAGUCACAAAAGAGGAAAGAAAGGUGACAAGGGAAAGAGCUGCCACUGAGAGAAAGAAGAAGAAGAAGAAGAAGAAGAAGAAGGAGAGAUAUAUAUAUAUAUAUGCCACGGGGUCUGGGAACCAAACACAGUAUGAAGCUGCCUGGACCGGAUGAUGACGCUGCUAUACAGACUGGCUGCACCUUGCAGAAAAACGCCCUUUGUAGAUGAGUGGCCCAGUCAGGAUUACUUACUGCAGGGGUCUUAACCCGCCAACCAGCAGUACUACAUCUCAGAGGCUAAAAACAGACACGGAGACAUUCUUACCAAGGCCUCAUUACACUGCUCAAAAAAAUAAAGGGAACACUUAAACAACACACUGUAACUCCAAGUCAAUCACACUUCUGUGAAAUCAAACUGUCCACUUAGGAAGCAACACUGAUUGACAAUAAAUGUCACAUGCUGUUGUGCAAAUGGAAUAGACAACAGGUGCAAAUUAUAGGCAAUUAGCAAGACACCCCCAAUAAAGGAGUGGUUCUGCAGGUGGUGACCACAGACCACUUCUCAGUUCCUAUGUUUCCUGGCUGAUGUUUUGGUCACUUUUGAAUGCGGGUGGUGCUUUCACUCUAGUGGUAGCAUGAAACGGAGUCUACAACCCACACAAGUGGCUCAGGUAGUGCAGCUCAUCCAGGAUGGCACAUCAAUGCGAGCUGUGACAAGAAGGUUUGCUGUGUCUGUCAGCGUAGUGUCCAGAGCAUGGAGGCGUUACCAGGAGACAGGCCAGUACAUCAGGAGACGUGGAGGAGGCCGUAAGAGGGCAACAACCCAGCAGCAGGACUGCUACCUCCGCCUUUGUGCAAGGAGGAGCAGGAGGAGCACUGCCAGAGCCCUGCAAAAUGACCUCCAGCAGGCCGCAAUUGUGCAUGUGUCUGCUCAAACGGUCAGAAACAGACUCCAUGAGGGUGGUAUGAGGGCCCGACAUCCACGGGUGGGGGUUGUACUUACAGCCCAACACCGUGCAGGAUGUUUGGCAAAUUCGCCACUGGCCCUGUGCUCUUCACAGAUGAAAGCAGGUUUACACUGAGCACGUGACAGUCUGGAGACGCCGUGGAAAACGUUCUGCUGCCUGCAACAUCCUCCAGCAUGACCGGUUUGGCGGUGGGUCAGUAGCCUAGUGGGUAGAGUAGCCUAGUGGUUAGAGUGUUGGACUAGUAACCGAAAGGUUGCAAGUUCGAAUCCCCGAGCUGACAAGGUACAAAUCUGUCGUUCUGCCCCUGAACAGGCAGUUAACCCACUGUUCCUAGGCCGUCAUUGAAAAUAAGAAUUUGUUCUUAACUGACUUAAAAUA